GUGAGGUUGCAACUGUUAAUGAUUCAGAUAUCCCAGAUACCCCCGCUCUAGUACCUCCAUCAGAUCAACCUCUUAAUGGGACUAUACAGGAAGAGUGUCAAGAAUUGAGGGAUGAGCAACAAAAACUUGUGUCUGGUCAUGACAAGACACCCUCCAGCACUGAAACAGUCCCUGCUGCUCUCCCUGAGUCUGAAGAGAAAA